AUUGAACGCUGGCGGCAGGCUUCACACAUGCCAGUCGAGCGCGCGGCGGACGGGUGAGUAAUGUCUGGGCACCUGCCUGAUGGAGGGGGAUAACUACUGGAAACGGUAGCUAAUACCGCAUACCAUCAGAUGUGCCCAGGUGGGAUUAUCUAGUAGGUGGGGUAAUGGCUCACCUAGGCGCGUAUCCCUAGCUGGUCUGAGAGGAUGACCAGCCACACUGGAACUGAGACACGGUCCAGACUCCUACGGGAGGCAGCAGUGGGGAAUAUUGCACAAGGGGCGCAAGCCCGAUGCAGCCAUGCCGCGUGUGUGAAGAAGGCCUUCGGGUUGUAAAGCACUUUCAGCGAGGAGGCGUUACUCGCAGAAGAAGCACCGGCUAACUCCGUGCCAGCAGCCGCGGUAAUUC
rnacentral:rRNA from 1 species